AACACAUACGUGCAAACAAAAUCCCAGGGUUUUCCCUCCUGUGUGUUUUCGUCUUGCUUCUUCGUGGUCC